CAAAUUAGAAAGUAUGGUGAGAACUCCUUUUGUUGACAAAAAUGGAAUAAAAAGAGGUGCAUGGAGUGAAGAUGAAGACAACAAAUUAAGAGCUUUUAUUGAAAGAUUUGGUCAUCCAAAUUGGAGGCAAUUGCCUAAAUAUGCUGGUUUAAUGAGGUGCGGGAAGAGUUGUAGAUUGAGAUGGAUGAAUUAUUUGAGGCCUGGCUUGAAGAAAGGAAAUUAUAGUCAUGAAGAAUAACAACUCAUUAUUAAAUUACACAACGAACUCGGAAAAAGAUGGUCAGCGAUUGCUACAAAAUUACUAGGAAGAUCGGACAAUGAUGUCAAAAAUCAUUGGCAUGCUCAUCUUAAAAAACGUGUUACAAUGGAUCAGCAAAUUAUUGAUCAAUCUUCAGAGUCAACAGGCCGAUCUCAAAAUUCUUAUAAGGUUUUGGAACACAAAGAAGUUAUGAAAGAGGUGUCAGAUCAUCUUGUUCAUGAUACUUCAAUUCAUCUAGAGGUUUCAUCGAGUGAUCAUCAUGAUUUAUAUUCCGAUUCUAGUUCCCAUGUAAAUGGAUUGGACUGGAUCGUAGAAGAUAAUAAUUACAUGAUAUCAAUGGAACCACUUCCAGACUCCUUUUCCUGGACAAUGAAUCCUAUCGAUAAUUUUCAGACUGAACCUUUUGACCACAUUUGGACCCAAUUCGUCGAUAGUUUCUGGACACAACCUUUCUUUUAAUUCUUAAUUAUAUAUAUACCUCAACUUUUA